rnacentral:rRNA from 1 species
GAUGAACGCUGGCGGCGUGCCUAAUACAUGCAAGUCGAGCGAACGGACGAGAAGCUUGCUUCUCUGAUGUUAGCGGCGGACGGGUGAGUAACACGUGGAUAACCUACCUAUAAGACUGGGAUAACUUCGGGAAACCGGAGCUAAUACCGGAUAAUAUUUUGAACCGCAUGGUUCAAAAGUAAAAGACGGUCUUGCUGUCACUUAUAGAUGGAUCCGCGCUGCAUUAGCUAGUUGGUAAGGUAACGGCUUACCAAGGCAACGAUGCAUAGCCGACCUGAGAGGGUGAUCGGCCACACUGGAACUGAGACACGGUCCAGACUCCUACGGGAGGCAGCAGUAGGGAAUCUUCCGCAAUGGGCGAAAGCCUGACGGAGCAACGCCGCGUGAGUGAUGAAGGUCUUCGGAUCGUAAAACUCUGUUAUUAGGGAAGAACAUAUGUGUAAGUAACUGUGGACAUCUUGACGGUACCUAAUCAGAAAGCCACGGCUAACUACGUG